UGGAUCAGUGGAUCCCACAGAUAUUUUUGAGAAUUUGGAGGCCAGGUCAACACCUUGUGCUGUUCUUUAUAUUUUUUUUUAGUUUUUUUUUAGUGUACGCCUGAGCAGCCUGUUCGGUGAUGGCUGCUGCCAUCAGGGAGUGUCAUUGCUAUAGGGCGUGGUGGAGGGCUGCAUGUCCACAUGAAUGCCAGGUCCAAACGUUUCCCAACAGAACACUGAAUCGUCACAAAUUGACCAGUGUUCUUUACUUGUUCUGUCAGUGGUUUUGUUCCUUUAUUGUUCUGUAAAAUGUGAGGGCAAACUGAGGGCAAAAAAAAAAGGCGACGCUUUGUUUUCCCGUCCCCCAGCAGCCACCAUGACUUCUUCGGACACACAGCUAAAGAAGAUAUCUGCAGAAAUGAGAAACGUUUCCAUGCGAAGGCAACAACUUCUGGAGAGGAAGAAGAUUCUGUGCAUAACCCAGGAGUUGAGGAAACGGGCCGACUUCGCACAAACAGAGGAAGCAGCCUCUAAUCAACAGGAAAUUGAUAACAUUGACAACCAGCUGAAACAGCUCGUUGAAAAGAAGGUGGAACUCCAGAACACCUACGACGCCCUCAGCUCCGAAGGCGCGAGUGGCAAGAAAGGCAAGUCAAACAUUUUGCUGCAGCGCCCGUCGUGAGAUUUUGGACAGCUAAACACAUUUCCUCUCUCCUUUGUUAGAGGUUAGUUUUGCAUCCAGCAUCAAGAAGGAGCCUGACGAGCCUGUUGCUUACGGCAACAUUUUCAUUGUUGAGGCUCCGCCCGCCAUCCCCGCCCCCACGGUGAUUUUGGACGUGCAAAAUCUUCCGAAGUGUCCGUGCCGGACGCAGUGUCCGGAGUGUAGGCAGUACGUCAUGACGGAGACCCAAAGCUCCGUCAGCAGCGUGACCUGGCUGGUGUGCCUCAUGACAGCACUGUUCGGCUGCGUGGCGGGGUGUUGCCUCAUCCCCUUCUGCGUCAAGAGGUUCAAGUCCAUCACGCACAAGUGCCCCAAGUGUCGAGCAUCGAUCCAAACUAUUAAACAGCUCUGAGAGGAAACCAAGUGGCGAAAAGAGACUCACGCUCGGGCUAACAGGAUGUUGGACGUUGGAGCAACGUGGAGUUUAUGGCGGGUAUAAAAAGGCCUAAAACGCCCCUGAGUCAAACAUAGAUAAAUCAUCAUAACAGCAUUUGUAUUUUAUGUAAAAGAGUAACUAAAUAAUGUGGCCAGAAGAGUCCACACAUGUCUUCACUUGAAGGUGGAGAAAAUAUGGCAUCGACGAAGAUGGGAGUCGCUCCAGAACCGAUGAGAGGACAAACAAGGACGCUGACGUCAGUAAAAGAGCCGCGGCUCUUUCUCUUAACAGCCAGUUUCCGCACUAUGUGACGACUUUCUUUCUGUUCCUCAUCUGUCCGGGCCAUGAGGCAACAUGACGCAGGCUUGUCCUAAAGGAUCUAAAUUUUUUUUACAAAAGUACUCUUCUAGUUCCCCAGAAACAUGUGGAAAAGAUCUGUUGUGUUCUUGAUGAGAGACGGAGAUUCGACUCUCUGCCCAAAACCUUCGCAAGGUAUGCUUGGCGCAAACGCAAACGCAUGCACACCAGCGGCGGAGCGCCAUAAAUCACGACGGGCUGUUUUGCGGUGCCAUUUUCCUCAGCACAAACUGGGGGGGUUUGUUUGGUUUUAAGGUGGAAGGAACUGUGAGAAACGUCUGGCGCGCGCGCUAGAAGGUUGGCUGAAGGCGCUGAAAACGCUCGGUGAUCCAAAGUGUUAAAGAUAAAUGUUUUGGAGCAAGCCAGACCUGAAUCUUACAGAAAAUCCAUCAAGGAACCGGGAGAGGGCCAGGAACGUGCAUGUCCUCGCAAACCUGAGAGGUCUUGGAAAAUGUUACCGAGUCAAAAUGCGCCAAGCUUGCGGACUCUCAUCCAAACUAGACUGCUGUAAUCAAAUCAAAAUGUGCUUCAAGUAAAGUGUUAGUCCAGGGGCGCAUGCAAUAACGCAAUUACGUCUUUUGUUUUGUAUCUGUUCCACUGUUUCUCUUUUUCACUUGUUGCAAGUUUGUGAGUGACAUCUGAAUAUUCAGCAGGGGUUAUUUGAUCUUUUAUAGGACCCUUCAAUGUGCAGGGUGCAUCUGAUCCCAAUGUCUGAGGGGUGCAAACAUUUAGUGUAGAGUUUUAAAGAAACACAUGUCAGAAGAAAAGGGUGGCGUCUGCCUUUAUGAAUCAUAAUAGAUUUUAGGUGUAAAUAGAUAUUUAUAAUAUAGUUAACCUACUGCUGCAUCAUUUAAUUGUCUUAUAUGGAUUUAGAAACGUGGUGAGCUCUCAUUGUUCAUUAAACAAAACUACAUGUGUACAGACUUUUCUGUUUUUCAAUUGUUUUUAAUGACAAGCAGUAAAGGGCGUGUGGCAAAGCUCCCGACAGUGGAAUCCACCCCCCCACCUCCACAAAAAAAAACAAAAAAAACACAAAAAAAAUCUCUGUAUUUACAAAAUAGAGAAUGUGUGAAACGUACGGCAUACAAACUAUGCAUUACAAUGUUUUUUGGUGUUGAGUUAUACUAGUAUAGUAAAGACAAAAACAUUUUUCAUUCCAGCACUUAGCCCCUUCCAACGGAGGGAGGGGGGGGACAUUUGGUUUGUCAAAUGAGGCACAAAAGAGAUGAAAAAUAAAAAAAAAUAAAAACAUAAUAAAAAAAAAA